rnacentral:rRNA from 1 species
UACGUAGGGGGCAAGCGUUGUCCGGAUUCAUUGGGCGUAAAGCGCGUGUAGGCGGCCAGGUAGGUCCGGUGUGAAAACUCGAGGCUCAACCUCGAGCGUCGGCGGAAACCCUCUGGCUAGAGUCCGGAAGAGGAGAGCGGAAUUCCUGGUGUAGCGGUGAAAUGCGUAGAGAUCAGGAGGAACACCCAUGGCGAAGGCAGCUCUCUGGCUUCACCCUGACGCUGAGGCGCGAAAGCGUGGGGAGCGAACGGG